UACGUAGGGUGCAAGCGUUAAUCGGAAUUACUGGGCGUAAAGCGUGCGCAGGCGGUUAUGCAAGACAGAUGUGAAAUCCCCGGGCUCAACCUGGGAACUGCAUUUGUGACUGCAUGGCUGGAGUGCGGCAGAGGGGGAUGGAAUUCCGCGUGUAGCAGUGAAAUGCGUAGAUAUGCGGAGGAACACCGAUGGCGAAGGCAAUCCCCUGGGCCUGCACUGACGCUCAUGCACGAAAGCUGGGGGAGC
rnacentral:rRNA from 1 species